UGCAGGCAGCCGUGGCCCGGGGCUCCGAGACAGCGGAGAAGGGCCCGGCGGACCCCCGGCGUUGCCCACCCCCGGCCUAGCCUGCCGCCCGCCCGCGGGUCCCAUCCACCGCUGCCCAGUGCUUUUAUGUAACCGUCCCGGGCCAGAGUGGGGGAGGGGAGCGGAGCCCCCGUGACCAGCAGGCGGCCGCCCGCGCUCCGCGCGACCUCAGCCCGAGCCCCGGUCCCCGCCCCGCGCCGGCCCGGCCCAGAGCCCCGGCGCUACUGCCUCCUAGGCCAGMGGCCCUCCUCCGCCCCCCGGCCGGUCCCCCAGCCCAGAGCCCUACGAGCCCCGGACGGCGGGCAGCGGCACUUACCUCUGGAAAAUCUUCAGCAGAUGGCUCACUUUUCCCUUGCAACACUCCCCUGUAGACACUGCCUUUGCACCUUGGUUGCCGUGGAAAGGACAGAGCUCAAGGAGACCUUUCCAUCAAGGUCACUCUGCUUUCAGCAGCUGGCUCCUGCACAGUGUUAAACUGGCCAAAAGAGUCUGAGAAGCUGUCAAGGCCACYUCCAGCCACCCCACAGCAAUACUACUGUGAAAGGUCCAGA